rnacentral:lncRNA from 1 species
GUGACUGUACUAUUUAGUGUCAUUGUUUUAUAGAUACCAUAGUGAGAAAGGAUUCAUUUCGCAACACCUACGGCUUCCACUAGAUGGCAACGAUCUUUAUAAAGUUGUUUGAAGCGUCUAUGAUAAACAGAGAGCAAAUUAGAAUCCAAGGAAGUUGACAUGUCAUCACUUCAUUUUUUGCGCCUGCGCAUAAAUCUGAGAAACGUGAGUUUUGUCUUCAUUGUUUAUCUCGACAUAGGAUAGGUUGUGUGAAAAUAUUACUGAUGUUUAACGUUAAAAAUGGACCAAAAGAUUAAUGCUAAACAACAUUUGACAUGUUUGAACGAACAUAAAUAGAUUAUUUACUAGGUUUUUUUUAGCUUUUCGGCGUGAUUUUACAGUCCCCCACCACGUUUUGUGGGAGCAUAAUGAACGCUAAGUACUUGGUGUUAUUUGGACAUAAAUUAUGAACUUUGUCAAAAGAAACCACAUUUGUUCCGGACCUGUGAUGCCUUCCGGACCUGGGAUGCCAGUCUUUUGAUGGAGAUAAUCAAAGUGAUGAUUAUAGCUAAUUUCCUGUAAAAUACCUGGGCCUACAUUGUAACGAUCAUCUGAAAGAGGGGACCAAGAUGCAGCGUGGACAUCUGAAAAACAUCUGAUCUACAACCUGUUGGGCACUGAAACGUGCACUCAUGGCUUCAGCAAAGAGAGAACUGGGGGGACUGUCAUCUGCAGCACCUUUAUAGCCUCUGACUGCCUUCCCCAUUAGUAAACAAUUCUUUCAAGAAAUGUUUAUUUUGUCUGAAAUUGUUUUUAUUUAGUCUGUGAACUUGAGUUGUGUGGGGUCAUGGAGGGGAGAUGCUGCACGUGCACAAGAAAGUUCAAUCAGUAGCACACAUCUCAAUUUCUCAUUGUGUGUGUGUGUGUGUGUGUGUGUGUGUGGUGAGUACACUAUUUUGUAACUGCCGUGUCAAAAAUGACCCUAAGACAAUCUUUGUACCCUGGUUUUGUACAGCUUUCAUGGAAAUAUGAACAUGGGCGAUGUUUCACUUUUUCUAAUGUUGGGGUCACUCUAGGAAAAGUCAUCAAAUUUAUUUUGGAAAAAAUAUAAUUUAGGGGGUUUUCUCUGCUGUUAAACAUAGUGGCGGAUCAUUUUUGACCCUUAAGACAACACAAGGGUUAAGAUAAUUGUAUGUGUGGGUACAGAGAUGAGGUAGUCAUAAAAAAUCAUGUUAAACACUAUUAUUGUGGCCUCCAGAAGGGUGCAGCAGUCUAAGGCACUGCAUCGCAGUGCUAGCUGCGUCACUACAGAUCCCGGUUCGAUCUCAGGCUGUGUUGCAGCCGGCCUCGACCGGGAGACCCAUGAGGCGGCACACAAUUGGCCCAGCAUCACCUGGGUUAGGGGAGGGUUGGACGGCUGGGUUGUCCUUGUCCCAUCGCGCUCUAGCAACUCCUGUGGCGGGCUGGGCGCAGUGCAUGCUGACACGGUUGCCAGGUUUACGGUGUUUCCCCCGACACAUUGAUCGGCUGGCUUUUAAGUUAAGCGAGCAUUGUGUUAAGAAGCAGUGCAGCUUGGCGGGGUCGUGAUUCGCAGAACGCACGGCUCUCGACCUUCACCUCUCCCGAGUCCACAGGGAGUUACAGCGAUGGGACAAGACUGUAACUACCAAUUGGAUAUCAUGAAAUUGGGGAGAAAAAAAAUCUAAAUAAUUAUUAGAAAUGAAACACUAUGAUUGCACACAGUGUGAGUCCAUGCAACUUAUUAAGUACAUUUUUACUCCUGAAAUUAUUUAGGUUUGCCAUAACAAAGGGGUUGAAUACUUAGUGACUCAAGACAUUUCAGCUUUUAAUUUUGAAUUAAUAAAAAUUUCGAAAAGCAUAAUUCCACUUUGACGUUAUGGUGUAUUGUGUGUGAAUCUGAAUGAAUUUGAAUCUGUUUAAAAUUCAGGCUGUAACAACAAAAUGUGGAAAAGGUCAAGAGUUGUGAAUGCUCUCUAAAGGAAUUGUAUCGGUUGUCAUAUUGAGUUCAGUAGAAUGUCUGGAUGGAUUUCUUAAUGAUGACACGUGUAUUUAUUGUAUUUACAUAAAUGAG